rnacentral:rRNA from 1 species
UACGUAGGUGGCAAGCGUUGUCCGGAUUUACUGGGUGUAAAGGGCGUGCAGCCGGAGAGACAAGUCAGAUGUGUAAUCCACGGGCUCAACCAGUGAACUGCAUUUGAAACUGUUUCCCUUGAGUGUCGGAGAGGUAAUCGGAAUUCCUUGUGUAGCGGUGAAAUGCGUAGAUAUAAGGAAGAACACCAGUGGCGAAGGCGGAUUACUGGACGAUAACUGACGGUGAGGCGCGAAAGCGUGGGGAGCAAACAGG